rnacentral:misc_RNA from 1 species
GGGGCAGAUGUUCUAUCUGGAACUAAAUUGUAAAGUUGCUAAGCCAGACUUGAAAAACGAUCUUAUUUGAUUCCAAAUAGAAAAUUUUGAUCCAUGGAAGCGUACUUGAACUGAUUUUCGUGUUCCUUCUUUAAUGUAUUCGACUUCUCGAGAGAGGCCAAACUGAACAGAUUCAGGUUCUUCGAGGAGAGGCAGCAUGCUAGAACCCUGGGACUCAAGACUCUUUAUCCACCCGCGUAAGAGAUAGUUCACCACCUCAGGAACCUCAUCAUGGGGGCAGUGACCUGCAGGGCUAAUCUCGUAGUAUGGUGCUUCUGGUAUUUGGCGUUUCACUCUUAGUCCCCAUAUAGGGGUAACCCAUGGGUCUUCUUUACCAUACACGAGACAGAUUGGGAUGUCCUGAACUUGGCACCUAGACAAGGCUUCAUCGAAAGAUAACUCUCCUCUAGGAGCGAACAUAAUUGAGGCAAAUGAUGCAGCUGCUGCAGGGUGUUGUGUUGUUUCAAUAAUGCGCGAGAACACUUUGUCAACCUUGGUUGAGUGGUCAGCAUAGACUUGCUUCAAUAUCUCAUGUAUGCUGGAAGGAUCGCUUAUCUUCUCCCAUAUGAUCUCAG